CUACGGAGGGUGCAAGCGUUACUCGGAAUCACUGGGCGUAAAGCGCGCGCAGGCGGCUAUUUAAGUUGGAUGUGAAAGCCUAUGGCUCAACCAUAGAACUGCAUCCAAAACUAUUUAGCUAGAGUGUGGGAGAGGAAGAUGGAAUUAGUUGUGUAGGGGUAAAAUCCGUAGAGAUGACUAGGAAUACCAAAAGCGAAGGCAAUCUUCUGGAACACUACUGACGCUGAGGCGCGAAAGCGUGGGGAGCAAACAGGAUUAGAAACCCUAGUAGUCC
rnacentral:rRNA from 1 species